rnacentral:rRNA from 1 species
CACGUAGUUAGCCGUGGCUUUCUGAUUAGGUACUGUCAAGAUGUGCACAGUUACUUACACAUUUGUUCUUCCCUAAUAACAGAGUUUUACGAGCCGAAACCCUUCAUCACUCACGCGGCGUUGCUCCGUCAGGCUUUCGCCCAUUGCGGAAGAUUCCCUACUGCUGCCUCCCGUAGGAGUCUGGACCGUGUCUCAGUUCCAGUGUGGCCGAUCACCCUCUCAGGUCGGCUACGUAUCGUCGCCUUGGUAAGCCGUUACCUUACCAACUAGCUAAUACGGCGCGGGUCCAUCUAUAAGUGAUAGCAAAACCAUCUUUCACUUUAGAACCAUGCGGUUCUAAAUGUUAUCCGGUAUUAGCUCCGGUUUCCCGAAGUUAUCCCAGUCUUAUAGGUAGGUUACCCACGUGUUACUCACCCGUCCGCCGCUAACUUCAAAGGAGCAAGCUCCUUAUCUGUUCGCUCGACUUGCAUGUAUUAGGCACGCCGCCAGCGUUCAUCCUGAGCCAGGAUCAAACUCU